rnacentral:rRNA from 1 species
UACGGAGGGUGCGAGCGUUGUCCGGAAUCACUGGGCGUAAAGGGCGCGUAGGCGGCUCAUGAAGGCUGUGGUGAAAGUCCGGGGCUCAACCUCGGAUCGGCCGUGGCGACUCGUGGGCUGGAGCACUGUAGAGGCGGGUGGAAUUCCGGGUGUAGCGGUGGAAUGCGCAGAUAUCAGGAGGAACACCGGUGGCGAAGGCGGUUCUCUGGGCAUGUCCUGACGCUGAGGAGCGAAAGUGUGGGGAGCGAACAGG